rnacentral:rRNA from 1 species
AUGCACGCUGGCGGCGUGCCUCAUCCAUGCAAGUCGAGCGAACAGAUAAGGAGCUUGCUCCUUUGACGUUAGCGGCGGACGGGUGAGUAACACGUGGGUAACCUACCUAUAAGACUGGGAUAACUUCGGGAAACCGGAGCUAAUACCGGAUAACAUUUGGAACCGCAUGGUUCUAAAGUGAAAGAUGGUUUUGCUAUCACUUAUAGAUGGACCCGCGCCGUAUUAGCUAGUUGGUAAGGUAACGGCUUACCAAGGCAACGAUACGUAGCCGACCUGAGAGGGUGAUCGGCCACACUGGAACUGAGACACGGUCCAGACUCCUACGGGAGGCAGCAGUAGGGAAUCUUCCGCAAUGGGCGAAAGCCUGACGGAGCAACGCCGCGUGAGUGAUGAAGGGUUUCGGCUCGUAAAACUCUGUUAUUAGGGAAGAACAAAUGUGUAAGUAACUGUGCACGUCUUGACGGUACCUAAUCAGAAAGCCACGGCUAACUACGUG